rnacentral:other from 1 species
GAUUUCCUGUGAUGCUUGUGAUGCUCAAGCUGUGUGUUGAGCCAACACAUCUGCAACGGGAACCCGGCCUCCGCGGGUCAUGUGAAUGCCUUGUUUCAAGGAAUCCUACGAUUCGCGGGAGGGUACCCACCUGGCUGGGACAGGUUCAAACGACCAGGGGCACACGACAUCGCGGGGGGUCU